AUACUUACCUGGCAGGGGGACCAUGAUCAUGAAGGUGGUUUUCUCAGGGUGAGGCUCACCCACUGCACUGCAGAUGUGCCGGCCCCUGUGAUAUCCCAAAUAUGGGAAACUUGACUGCAUAAUUUGUGGUAUUGGGAGACCGUGCUUGCACUCUUCCCUA